UCCCAGUUCGGAUUGUAGUCUGCAACCCGACUACAUGAAGCCGGAAUCGCUAGUAAUCGCGGAUCAGAAUGCCGCGGUGAAUACGUUCCCGGGUCUUGUACACACCGCCCGUCACACCAUGGGAGUUGGAAAUGCCCGAAGUCAGUGGCCCAACCGGAAGGGGGGAGCUGCCGAAGGCAGGUUCGAUGACUGGGGUGAAGUCGUAACAAGGUAUC
rnacentral:rRNA from 1 species